rnacentral:rRNA from 1 species
GAUGAACGCUGGCGGCGUGCCUAAUACAUGCAAGUCGAGCGAAGCGGGGACGGGUGAGUAACACGUGGAUAACCUCCUAUAAGACUGGGAUAACUUCGGGAAACCGGAGCUAAACCGGAUACUUCUAGGUGGAUCCCUUCUGCAUUAGCUAGUUGGUAAGGUAACGGCUUACAAAGGCCACGAUGCCUCGCCGAGCUGAGAGGGUGAUCGGCCACACUGGAACUGAUACACGGUCCAGACUCCUACGGGAUGCAGCAGUAGGGAAUCGUCCGCAAUGGGCGAAAGCCUGACGGAGCAACGCCGCGUGAGUGAUGAAGGUCUUCGGAUCGUAAAACUCUGUUAUUAGGUAAGCGGUAACUAAUCAGAAAGCCACGGCUAACUACGUGCCAGCAGCCGCGGUAAUUC